CAUUUUUUAAAAUCUCAUGGAGCAAGCAUACUUAAAACAAGUGUGAUAUGAGAUGCCCACAUUUAUCUCUAUUUAUUUAAUAGUAUACAUUUGUAUCUUCGACUGUUGAUAUUUUUUAUUUUAUUUAUUUAUUUUGGAGAGGGUAUUAAUUUUUAUGAUAUGUGCCACUACACGGGACUGUGCCUUCUAUCUCAAGCUCUUACUAUUAAUUCUUUUCCAUAUUUCUGAACUAGAUUUUUUUCUUUUCCUGCUUUUUUUCUCUGUCAAAAUCUGCCAGGUGACGACGGACGCAGUGUGACUCCCAAUGAGUUGCUCUGGCAACCUCCGGAACGUUCACCAGUGGCCAUGGCAACGGCUGAUGCCGAUUACUGCGAUGGAGCCGGGGGUUCUGGUUAUGAGUGGAUGGAGGCGGAUUGGCAUAACACAUGUGCAUGUGUGUAUACAGCCAAGCUAGCUCAUCCAGUGGUUGGACCUUCAGGAGGUGAAACACAGAUCCAGGAUACCCAAGAUCCAGUUGUUCUCCCCAUAUCUGUGUGGUUUUCCUCUGCAUCCCCCAGUUUCCUUCCACCUCCCAACAACAUGCUGGAUUCCCAAUGAUGUCUGCAAACAGCUGUUUGGUAGAGCUCAGAAUAUCUUGCAUGUCUGCCCCGGCCUGUCUCACACAGAGAGGAGAGAGAAGACGGCCAGAUGAUAUAUGU